GGUGAAGAACGCAGCGAAAUGCGAUACGUAAUGUGAAUUGCAGAAUUCAGUGAAUCAUCGAGUCUUUGAACGCACAUUGCGCCCCCUGGUAUUCCGGGGGGCAUGCCUGUCCGAGCGUCAUUGCUGCCCUCAAGCACGGCUUGUGUGUUGGGCCUCCGUCCUCCUCCCGGGGGACGGGCCCGAAAGGCAGCGGCGGCACCGCGUCCGGUCCUCGAGCGUAUGGGGCUUCGUCACCCGCUCUUGUAGGCCCGGCCGGCGCUUGCCGACACAUCAAUCUUUUUUCCAGGUUGACCUCGGAUCAGGUAGGGAUACCCGCUGAACUUAAGCAUAUCAAUAAGCGGAGGA
rnacentral:misc_RNA from 1 species